rnacentral:rRNA from 1 species
GGUGGUAUGUAUAACUGUACAGGGCGCCGGAGUUGACGGUCACAUUGCUCUGCGGGGGUGUACGGUACGUAUGGUCUUGUGGUUAGCUGUUGAUCAUCGUGUCGCUUGUGCAAGCAAGCCCGGUGGAGGUUAACUCUUGUGCUGUGCGUAGUUUAUGUGCGUUGGUGGAGUGUUAUGAAGGACCUAUAGUUUGUGGUGCUGUGGUAGACCAGCCACCUGACCCGUCUUGAAACACGGACCAAGGAGUUUAACAUGCGCGCGAGUCAUUGGGCUCUACGAAACCCAAAGGCGUAGUGAAAGUGAAGACCUUCGGGUCACGGUGAGAUCCCGUUGUGUGUUUGCUCCUUGUGCAUUGGCGGUACCAAGCAUGGAGCAGCGGGCGCAUCACCGGCCCGUCCCAUAAUGUGUCUGCUCGGUUGAAGGCGGGCAGUAGAGCGUUCGGAUUUUAGGCGUGUGAAUGGUCGGGUAAUUGGAUCGGCGCUUCGGUGUGGGUCUGCCUUGGCUGGCNUGUCGUGCGCCGGGUCCGGGAGAGCGACUGUCCUACGGGCAUGUCAUUGGGGCGGAGCAUGAGCGUGCACGUUGAGACCCGAAAGAUGGUGAACUAUGCUUGCGCAGGUUGAAGCCAGAGGAAACUCUGGUGGAGGACCGCAGCGAUUCUGACGUGCAAAUCGAUCGUCAAACGUGAGUAUAGGGGCGAAAGACUAAUCGAACCAUCUAGUAGCUGGUUCCCUCCGAAGUUUCCCUCAGGAUAGCAU